rnacentral:rRNA from 1 species
AUUGAACGCUGGCGGUAUGCUUAACACAUGCAAGUCGGACGGAAACGACAAGAAGCUUGCUUCUUGGGCGUCGAGUGGCGGAUGGGUGAGUAAUAUAUAGGAAUCUGCCUCGUAGCUUGGGAUAACUACUCGAAAGAGUGGCUAAUACCGAAUGUGGACUACGGUUUAAAGCAGGGGAUCUUCGGACCUUGCACUACGAGAUGAGCCUAUACAAGAUUAGCUAGUUGGUGAGGUAAUGGCUCACCAAGGCGACGAUCUUUAGCUGGUUUGAGAGGAUGAUCAGCCACACUGGGACUGAGACACGGCCCAGACUCCUACGGGGGGCAGCAGUGGGGAAUAUUGGACAAUGGGGGCAACCCUGAUCCAGCAAUACCGCGUGUGUGAAAAGGCCUUAGGGUUGUAAAGCACUUUUGUCAGGGAGAAUUGUAUUUUUAGUAGAAUACCUAGAGAUAUUGAUGUUACCUGAAGAAUAAGCACCGGCUAACUCCGUGCCAGCC